AGUGAACGCUGGCGGCGUGCCUAAUACAUGCAAGUCGAACGGAGAUUAAGUAGCUUGCUAUUUAAUCUUAGUGGCGCACGGGUGAGUAAUAUAUAGCUAACUUGCCCAUUACUAAGGGACAACAGUUGGAAACGACUACUAAUACCUUAUACUCCGUAUCUAUAUAAGUAGAUACGGGAAAGUUUUUCGGUAAUGGAUAGGGCUAUAUCGUAUCAGCUAGUUGGUAAGGUAAUGGCUUACCAAGGCUAUGACGCGUAACUGGUCUGAGAGGAUGAUCAGUCACACUGGAACUGAGACACGGUCCAGACUCCUACGGGAGGCAGCAGUAGGGAAUAUUGCUCAAUGGGGGAAACCCUGAAGCAGCAACGCCGCGUGGAGGAUGACACUUUUCGGAGCGUAAACUCCUUUUCUUGGGAAAGAAUUAUGACGUACCCAAGGAAUAAGCACCGCA
rnacentral:rRNA from 1 species